rnacentral:misc_RNA from 1 species
GAUGAAGAACGCAGCGAAAUGCGAUACUUGGUGUGAAUUGCAGAAUCCCGUGAACCAUCGAGUCUUUGAACGCAAGUUGCGCCCGAAGCCACUAGGCCGAGGGCACGCCUGCCUGGGCGUCACACGUCGUUGCCCCCCACCAUCUACUCCUUCGGGAUUGCGGGGGGCGGAUGAUGGCCUCCCGUGCGCCUAGCCGCGCGGUUGGCAUAAAUACCAAGUCCUCGGCGACGCACGCCACGACAAUCGGUGGUUGCGAAACCUCGGUUGCCCGUCGUGUGCGUUCGUCGCGCAUCGAGGGCUCGAAAAAAUGCUCGGCUCCGGCUCGGCUUUCAACGCGACCCCAGGUCAGGCGGGGUUACCCGCUGAAUUUAAGCAUAUAAUAAGCGGAGGA